AACUCUCCAAAAGUAUAAGGGAAAAAAUCUUAAAACAAAAAAAAGAGUAAAAAACUGGUAAUAGAGUAAAAAAAUAAAGAAUAACUAAUAACUUUAAUAAAAAAUUUACUAAGGAACUCGGCAAAUAUGAGUCUUGUCUGUUUAUCAAAUACAUAGCUUUACCGAAAUUAUGUAAAGUAGCGCCUGCCCGGUGAUAGUGACCCUAUUAAACGGAUGAUAUUCAUUAAAGUAGCGUAGUCAGUUGUCUCUUGAAUAGGGACUAGUAUGAAAGGCAUAACAGGGCUUAGCUGUCUUAAUAAAUUAAUAAGAAAUUAAUUUGCGGGUGAAAAAUCCCGCAUAAAAUUGAAGGACGAGAAGACCCUUUAGAGUUUAAUAAAAAAACUUUAAAAGAUUUAAAGUUUAUUAUUUUGUUGGGGCAACACGGGGGAUAAACCCCCUAAAAAAUUUUWUACUAUGGUAAAAAGGAUCCUUAAAAAGAACCAAAAAA
rnacentral:rRNA from 1 species